rnacentral:rRNA from 1 species
AACGAACGCUGGCGGCAUGCUUAACACAUGCAAGUCGAACGUGAUCCGGGGCUUGCCCCGGUGAAAGUGGCGGACGGGUGAGUAACGCGUGGGAACCUGCCCAGUGGUAGGGGAUAACCG